rnacentral:misc_RNA from 1 species
GAUGAAGAACGUAGCGAAAUGCGAUACGUAAUGUGAAUUGCAGAAUUCAGUGAAUCAUCGAGUCUUUGAACGCACAUUGCGCCCCCUGGUAUUCCGGGGGGCAUGCCUGUCCGAGCGUCAUUGCUGCCCUCAAGCACGGCUUGUGUGUUGGCCCUCCGUCCUCCUCCCGGGGGACGGGCCCGAAAGGCAGCGGCGGCACCGCGUCCGGUCCUCGAGCGUAUGGGGCUUCGUCACCCGCUCUUGUAGGCCCGGCCGGCGCUUGCCGACACAUCAAUCUUUUUUCCAGGUUGACCUCGGAUCAGGUAGGGAUACCCGCUGAACUUAAGCAUAUCAAUAAGCGGAGGG